GAAGAGCAGGCACAGAGGAGGAGCUGAUAAUAGGAGGAUCAGGAAGUAGGAGGAGUUUUGAGGUAGCAGAGGUGAUAAAUUGGACUGAGCACAGGUGUGGGCCCUUUUCCCACUCUCUUGCAGCAGAUCCCUGCAAUCCACUGGCAGCAAUUGUUUGUCUGCGUGACCAUAUAAACCAGCACUGAUUGUUGUCAGCCUCCAUUCCUCUGAUGCAUCUGCCAAACUAAAGAAAAGAAGUAAAUAAAGCACAGUUGGAAUGGA